UGGUUCUGGCAUNGAUGAAGAACGCAGCGAAAUGCGAUAAGUAAUGUGAAUUGCAGAAUUUAGUGAAUCAUCGAAUCUUUGAACGCACAUUGCGCCCUCUGGUAUUCUGGGGGGCAUGCCUGUUCGAGCGUCAUUACAACCCUCAAGCUCUGCUUGGUAUUAGAUCAAACCUGUUACAGGCAGAUCGAAAAAAUAGUGGCUUUGCCUGUUGGCUUCAAGCGUAGUAAUUCUUCUCGCUUUUGAGUGCCAAUAGCGUAUCUGCCAAAAGACACACUUCUUAGGUUGACCUCGGAUCAGGUAGGGAUACCCGCUGA
rnacentral:misc_RNA from 1 species